CGCGCCUUCCUUGGUCGCCCUCGACAGCCACUGGCGCUCCAACACCACGAGCAGGAGGGCAGAGGCGGCGACCAGCGCGAAGGUGAAGACGCUUGGAGCCAGGGCUCGCCUCCCGGCCAUCUCUCGUCUCCGGCAGCAGGGCAAAAACCGGAAGAACCCGGAGAAAAUCCACGCCGCCAACACCACCAGCACGGGGAGAGAGAUCAUGCGGAAUCCAAAUAAACUGCAGGCAUCGUCAGAGUCCGGGAUCGAAUCAACGACCUCCUGUGUACCAAGUAAAGGAGAUAACAUCUCGCAACCUCUGCUACUCUUCCGCGCUGACCAGACAUCUUGGAAGAGGUGGAAGGUCCCACACUUUACCUCACUACACGUGACCUGCCAAUGGACUAACUGUGGUGUACCCAUUUAAGCUGCUGAGUGGACAGGAUCUUCAGGUCGUCUUGCCAGCCACGGAUGAUGAUGACCUGACGUCUCUUCAAGUUGCGCGAUGCCUCAAAGCCCAUAUUAACACCCCUCGGCGUGCUGGCAUGGUCGCGAGCAUGGGACCGGCCAUGGAGGAGGGAGCACACACAGGAGAGCGGCUUCUACAGGCCGCUGUUUCCUAUCCCAGGGCACAGCGGAAGGGGUCGGAGGAGCUCCA